UCAUUGUCGAAACCUGCAAGGCAGAACGACCCGCGAACUGUUUAGAACUCAUUCGAGGGGCGGGCCCUCGUGCCCAACGCUCGUUGCCCCGGGGCCAGGGUUGUGGGUCAGGCCCACACCCCCUUGCCCUGGGCACAGACAACAAACCCCGGCGCAAAUCGCGCCAAGGAAAAAGAAAGAAGAUGCGCUCCCUUCGUCCCGGAAACGGUGCACGGGGACCGCGUCGUCGUUAUCCUCUACGAAACGACUCUCGGCAACGGAUAUCUCGGCUCUCGCAUCGAUGAAGAACGUAGCGAAAUGCGAUACUUGGUGUGAAUUGCAGAAUCCCGUGAACCAUCGAGUUUUUGAACGCAAGUUGCGCCCAAAGCCGUUAGGCCGAGGGCACGCCUGCCUGGGUGUCACGAAAUGUCGCCAAAUAUCCCUCUGCCCCCUUCUAAGGGGAAGCAUCGAGGGCUGGCGGAUGUUGGCCUCCCGUGCGCAGUUGCUCGCGGUUGGCCCAAAAGAGAAUCCCCCCGGCGAGGGAGCCACGACACGCGGUGGUUGAAAGCGUACGCUCUCCUCGAACACCGUCGUCGGCGAGCCUCGUCCAAGGGGAAAGCCCAAGACCCCGACGCGCAGCGUCUUUCACGGAGCGACCCCAGG
rnacentral:rRNA from 1 species